rnacentral:rRNA from 1 species
GUCCACGCCGUAAACGAUGAGUGCUAGCCGUUGGAACGCAAGUUUCAGUGGUACAGUUAACACGUUAAGCACUCCGCCUGGGGACUACGGCCGCAAGGCUAAAAACUCAAAGGAAUUGACGGGGACCCCGCACAAGCGGUGGAGCAUGUGGUUUAAUUCGAUGCUACGCGAAAAACCUUACCACCCUUUGACAUCCUGAUUUCGGGACUUGGAGACAAGUCCUUUCGGUUCGGCCGGUUCAGAGACAGGUGUUGCAUGGCUGUCGU